AGAAGCAUUGAUCUCCUGAAUUGCAGAUCUCAGAACCUCAUCCCCUGCAACCUCACGUAAUUUCCUUGUAAAAGCAUCCUUGGCUAUGAUUCCAGCCUAUGGUAAACAAUAAGAAAAAAAUAAAAUUAUCAAGAUGUUGAAGAUUCUAA